rnacentral:rRNA from 1 species
UGGGGCAGCGCGGAUAGCAAUAUCUGGCGGCGACCGGCAAACGGGUGAGGAACAUGUACGCAACCUUCCUUUAACUGGAGAAUAGCCCCUCGAAAGAGGGAUUAAUACUCCGUAACAUAAUGAAGUGGCGUCGCUUUAUUAUUAUAGCUCCGGCGGUUAAAGAUGGGCGUGCACCUGAUUAGAUAGUUGGCGGGGUAAUGGCCCACCAAGUCUACGAUCAGUAACUGGUGUGAGAGCACGACCAGUCACACGGGCACUGAGACACGGGUCCGACUCCUACGGGAGGCAGCAGUAAGGAAUAUUGGUCAAUGGACGCAAGUCUGAACCAGCCAUGCCGCGUGGAGGAUUAAGGCCCUCUGGGUUGUAAACUCCUUUUAUCUGGGAAGAAAUGUACUUUUUCUUGAGUACUUGACGGUACCAGAGGAAUAAGCACCGGCUAACUCCGUGCCAGCAGCCGCGGUAAUACGGAGGGUGCAAGCGUUAUCCGGAUUCACUGGGUUUAAAGGGUGCGUAGGUGGGCAGGUAAGUCAGUGGUGAAAUCUCCGGGCUUAACUCGGAAACUGCCGUUGAUACUAUUUGUCUUGAAUAUUGUGGAGGUAAGCGGAAUAUGUCAUGUAGCGGUGAAAUGCUUAGAUAUGACAUAGAACACCAAUUGCGAAGGCAGCUUACUACACAAUCAUUGACACUGAGGCACGAAAGCGUGGGGAUCAAACAGGAUUAGAUACCCUGGUAGUCCACGCCCUAAACGAUGAUUACUCGACGUAUGCGAUACACUGUAUGCGUCUGAGCGAAAGCAUUAA